AUUGGACAAUGGGGGAAACCCUGAUCCAGCAAUGCCAUGUGUGUGAAGAAGGCUCUAGGGUUGUAAAGCACUUUAGUUGGGGAGGAAAGCCUAUGAGUUAAUAGCUUGUAGGAAGGACGUUACCCAAAGAAUAAGGACCGGCUAACUCCGUGCCAGCAGCCGCGGUAAUACGGGGGGUCCGAGCGUUAAUCGGAAUUACUGGGCGUAAAGGGUCUGUAGGUGGUUUGUUAAGUCAGAUGUGAAAGCCCAGG
rnacentral:rRNA from 1 species